CGAACACACCAUGACACCUAAACUGGGCGACGCUCCCCUAACGAACGCACCAUGACACCUAAACUGGGCGACACUCCCCUAACGAACGCACCAUGGUUGAUCAAGCUGUCUUUUGUUUUCAACCGCACGCGUGUUCGAUCCUGUUUGUGUGGCGCAGUUGAAAUCGAAAAUUCUCGAGUCGAAUCGCGUGUGCUCGUGAAGGAACAACAUCCGGCGUUCGUUUAACAUGGUCCUGAUGGACAUGUCACCCGGUGGACCGAACCGGAACGGCGGGAUGGCGGAAUUUCCGCAUAUUUGGAAGCGCUUGAUUGUGAGAGGAGGUCCGGCGCCUGCUGCGGACACUUUCGGCCGGGUUUGUUCCGGAUGGUGAGCUCGUCUCGUCUGGAGGCGAACAUUGUUAGGGGCCUAUUCCACUGAAGAUUGUGCUUCAUAAAUACGCGAGAGUUCAUCCCAAGUACGAAGCAGUAGUUCCGGCACCGGCAUUUCGAACAACGUCAGAAAGUUCGGAUUGAAGCAGAAUAUUAAAAGAAAACGACGCGGAAAAAAGGACUAUUUUUUUUAAAUCAACGAAAAAAAAUAUAAAAAUACAAUAAAACUUACCGUAUUGACCAUUAAUUUCAAUGUAUAAAUAUAUGUUUUACAGUACAAUUUAGUGGAGAGAAAAAAAUAAAUACAAUGAAAAUACAAUGAACCAUACUG